CUGCGUACCUCGGGGGGCCAAUCCGGCUGAGAUGCGCACGCGCGCGGACCCGUAGAACCUGAACCGGUUAGAACCGGCGGAGGGAAGGUUGAGCAUAUCAUC
rnacentral:ncRNA from 2 species